AUGCUGGAGAAUUCAUUUCUAAUAGAUACUCGAAUGAAAAAAUUCGAUACCAUAGUCCCCGCUACUCUCCUCAUAGGAUACUUA
rnacentral:rRNA from 1 species